UUUGGCAAUAAGAGUGAGUGAGUGUGUGCCUGUGUGUGCGCACGCACACACAUAUACACACCAAUGCCAGAAUACACUAGCUAAGCACACUUUGAUUUGCUUUCUGCUUAUUUUAUGACAACCACAUUAAUAUUAUAACAAAAAUGCCUGGUUUGUCCCUUUUUAAGUGUAAAAUUUCUGGACUUUGGAAAAUUUUGUUAUUGCUUGCAUUUGAAAAGCCUUCUGAAUGAUAUAAAUAUAAAUCAUAGAAGUUACAAAAUAUGAUAUAAAAAUGUAGAAAAUCUAAUCCAAUAUUGCCAUGAUGUUCUGAAAUGUAGCUGUUAUAACAGGUUUUUUUUUCCCCCUUUUAAUUUUCGCGCACUUACAUUGAACCAUUUUAUAUUAUUAUCUGCCAAAGACAAAGUAUGUGACUGUGCACAUGUCAAACAAGCCCUUUUAAAUCAAAUUCAAUUCAUUUAUCAAAUGCAGUCUGUACUCUUGUAGUACAACAAUUUUCCAAAUCUUAACGGCCCUACUUCCCAUCAAAACUAAAAUAAAUAAAUAAAAAUGAAAAGAAAAGAAAGAGAGAAACCCUCCUUUUCGCUGUGGAUUUGUUUUACUAUUUUGAACUAUUAUUUACGUUAAUUUCCUUGCUUUUGUUGUUGAUGUGGCUUCUUACCAUUCAGAGUCAUGGUUUGACUUUACGUCUCACUAUC
rnacentral:misc_RNA from 1 species